GCAUAUCAAUAAGCGGAGGAAAAGAAACCAACAGGGAUUGCCCCAGUAGUGGCGAGUGAAACGGCAAGAGCUCAGAUUUGAAAUCGUGUUUCGGCACGAGUUGUAGAGUGUAGGCGGGAGUCUCUGUGGAGCGCGGUGUCCAAGUCCCUUGGAACAGGGUGCCUGAGAGGGUGAGAGCCCCGUAGGGUGCUGCGCGAAGCUUUUGAGGCCCUGCUGACGAGUCGAGUUGUUUGGGAAUGCAGCUCCAAGCGGGUGGUAAAUUCCAUCUAAGGCUAAAUAUUGGCGAGAGACCGAUAGCGAACAAGUACUGUGAAGGAAAGAUGAAAAGCACUUUGAAAAGAGAGUGAAACAGCACGUGAAAUUGUUGAAAGGGAAGGGUAUUGGGCUCGACAUGGGGGGUGCGCACCGCUGUCUCUUGUAGGCGGCGCUCUGGGCGCCCUCUGGGCCAGCAUCGGUUCCUGCUGCGGGAGAAGGGGCUCCGGAAAGUGGCUCUUCGGAGUGUUAUAGCCGGGGCCAGAUGCCGCGUGUGGGGACCGAGGACUGCGGCUUCUGUCUCGGAUGCUGGCAUAACGGCGCAAUACCGCCCGUCUU
rnacentral:rRNA from 1 species